ensembl:miRNA
UGGCUCACUGCAGCCUCCCCGCCCCCUCAGGUGAUCCUCCCACCUCAUCCUCCCAAGUAGCUGGGAAUACAGGUGUGUGCCACCAUGCCUCUACAAGCUACCUGGGAGACUGAGGUUGGAAGAUUGCUUGAGCCUAGGAGGUUGAGGCGACAGUGAGCCA